rnacentral:piRNA from 1 species
UAAAAUGUUCAUACAGCAAGCUUGAGGUC